UUAUCCCUCUCUGUUCGCUCAACAGGAACCUGUAGAAACACAUGGAUGGCCCCAAUAGCUCCUCGUCAGCGAACCUCUGGCUGCCCUAAGGAUUGGGUCGCCCCGCGUUGCUCCUCAACCUGUCAUUUUUCUCUUCCCUCUUCCUCCCCCUGCUCUAACCUUCGUUGUUGCUGCCUUCCUCUGCAGGAACCGCGCCGGGAUGCUGCCGCCCAUGGCGCUCCCGUUGUGCUGGCCCGUCGUUGAACUUUUUCCGCCGCCCCGUCAUUGAACUUUUUCCGCAGUGGUGUCUCUCUGUCAAGCGAGCUGGACUACGCUCGAGCUGCUCCCUGUCGUGCGCCAGGUCGGCCACGCACAGGCCUAGUGAGUCCAAGACGACCUCCAUUGCAGAUGGGCCAAGCCCCGCUUGAUUUUUUCUUCUUAAUAGAGUGUCCAAAGCGUUUGGAGUGAGGAUUCAUUCGACUACAUUGGUUUGUCUUCUUCAUGGAUUCAUUGUUCUUCCAAACGGGAUCACAAGCAAGAUGAUCAUUUCCCUAGGAUGGGUUCUAGGCCGACAGCUUGGGAUAGCAAGGAUGGACGUCGUUUUUCUCGUUUGAUUUCGCCGUUGCCGGACCCUGCUCUUCUACAUGGUGACUGAAUGUAUUGAUGUAUUGUGAUGUUCAUGAUUAGCUUGUGGCGAGUGUAAUCCAAUUCCAUAUACUCAUAUCUUUUGUACAUGUAGUUGUAACAAUAUCCAUUCCUUCAAAACAACGAGAUGCACUUUCAUCCCUAUCGAGGCCUUCGUGCAAAAAUAAGGAUUAUGAUGGCUUCCUAAAUCUCUCUGAUCCAUUGAAAUAGUAUGGCCAACUAGAUUGACAUUUCUUCAGUGAGAGGGGUGUGUUAUAGCCGGCUCAAUCUAACGGGUUUCUAUAUCCUUGUAACAGAAGGAGAAGAGAUACAUCUUUGUAUGUUUUCCACUAUGGAUAAAUCAAUGGGGUUAAUCCAUAUUGAUGGAGUUCUCUUUGUCUA